rnacentral:lncRNA from 10 species
CAGAAAGUCAGAAGGUCCAUGAGGGGAAGGUGCAGAAAUACAGCUAUUUCCAGUGCCAGCUGUUGAGCCAGUGCCAGCACCAGGGUCAAAGCCCCCUCCAGGGACAGCGCUGGAGCUAGAGGAGGCUCCAGAGCCCUCCUGCCAUUGCCCUGGGACUGCCCAGAACCAGCCCAGUGAGAAGCUGCCUGACUUCAUGGCACCUCAUGUACAGCCACCGGCCUCAGCCCUGGAGCUGAAAGUGUGGCAGGAGCUAGAGGUGGCAGAGAGGGGGUGACAAGCACAGCUCCAGCCAGCAGCUCCCACACUGCUCCCAGUCCUGGGCACAGUGGAAGCUAUGGAGGCAGAGACCAGGGUGUGCAGCCUGGGCUCCUCUGCCUCACUGGAGAGGGACUUCUCUCAUUCAGCAGAGCAGCAGCCCUGCUGCUGAAGAGCCUGCUGCUACUGCUGCUGGAGGUGUUUGCCUGCCUACAGGAGGUGCUGGAGAGCAAGAAAAGGAGCCUGUGAGCAGGGGUUCCAGCAGGUCCUCCUGCUCCCAGAGGUGACCUCCUCCUCCAGGCAUGGAGAUUUGCCCUCACCUAGGCAUCUGGGCCAUUUGCCUCUAAUGUUCUGCCCAGGAUGGCCUCUUCUUGACAGGCAGACAGGGGUUGAGGGGGCCAGGGGGCAUCUCCAAAGGAAGAUUUAAACUCAGCAUCUGCACCCCAGAAUCUCCAUGCCUGCACCUGCCCAAGGAUUUAUUCAUAGCUUAACUAAGAAUCUCAAAUUUCUACCAUAACACUGAAAUAAAGUUUGACUUUUUGAAACUUCCAUGACUUCUUUCACUCCCUAAUAUUGUAG